UACGUAGGGGGCAAGCGUUGUCCGGAAUUAUUGGGCGUAAAGAGCGCGUAGGCGGUCCGAUAAGUCGGCUGGGAAAGUCAGGGGCUCAACCCUUGAAAGCCGGCCGAUACUGUCGGACUAGAGUCCGGAAGAGGCAAGUGGAAUUCCCGGUGUAGCGGUGAAAUGCGCAGAUAUCAGGAGGAACACCAAUGGCGAAGGCAGCUUGCUGGGACGGUACUGACGCUGAGGCGCGAAAGCGUGGGGAGCAAACAGG
rnacentral:rRNA from 1 species